rnacentral:rRNA from 1 species
GUGAACGCUGGCGGUAGGCCUAACACAUGCAAGUCGAACGGCAGCACAGUAAGAGCUUGCUCUUACGGGUGGCGAGUGGCGGACGGGUGAGGAAUACAUCGGAAUCUACUUUUUCGUGGGGGAUAACGUAGGGAAACUUACGCUAAUACCGCAUACGACCUACGGGUGAAAGCAGGGGAUCUUCGGACCUUGCGCGAUUGAAUGAGCCGAUGUCGGAUUAGCUAGUUGGCGGGGUAAAGGCCCACCAAGGCGACGAUCCGUAGCUGGUCUGAGAGGAUGAUCAGCCACACUGGAACUGAGACACGGUCCAGACUCCUACGGGAGGCAGCAGUGGGGAAUAUUGGACAAUGGGCGCAAGCCUGAUCCAGCCAUACCGCGUGGGUGAAGAAGGCCUUCGGGUUGUAAAGCCCUUUUGUUGGGAAAGAAAAGCAGCAGGUUAAUACCCCGCUGUUCUGACGGUACCCAAAGAAUAAACACCGGCUAACUUCGUG